rnacentral:rRNA from 1 species
ACGGAAGGCAGCAGUGGGGAAUAUUGGGCAAUGGGCGCAAGCCUGACCCAGCAACGCCGCGUGAAGGAAGAAGGUUUUCGGAUUGUAAACUUCUAUCCUCGGUGAAGAAAAAGAUGACGGUAGCCGAGAAGGAAGCCCCGGCUAACUACGUGCCAGCAGCCGCGGUAAUACGUAGGGGGCAAGCGGUGUCCGGAAUGACUGGGCGUAAAGGGCGUGUAGGCGGCCGAUUAAGUCUGAAGUGAAAGUCCUGCUUUCAAGGUGGGAAUUGCUUUGGAGACUGGUUGGCUUGAGUGCGGAAGGGGUAAGUGGAAUUCCCAGUGUAGCGGUGAAAUGCGUAGAGAUUGGGAGGAACACCAGUGGCGAAGGCGACUUACUGGGCCGUAACUGACGCUGAGGCGCGAAAGCGUGGGGAGCGAACAGGAUUAGAUACCCUGGUA